rnacentral:lncRNA from 1 species
UCCAAUCUCUGUUAUUCGGAGUGUGUGUUUCUUUUUGAGACUUAAUUUCCUUAUCCUUGAAAUGAGGUAAUAUACUUCCUUCAUAGGGUUGCUGGGAAGAUUAAACACAAGGUGAAAUAAAUAAAGCCCCAGGGACAUAAACAAAAAAUGAUGGCUUCUCACAGCAAUGCUCCAGAACAAACAACAAGGGAAUACUGGGCCCAGUCCCAGGACUGUCCACCUGUGAAUCCAACACCUUUUCACAUCAACUCCCAGGAUUAUAGGAUCUGGCUCCCAUGAAGGCCUUCCACCUCCGCUGGCCUAAGCUGUCAGUGUCAGAGAGCGCUGGCCCUAACAGCUCCCUUACCAGAGCAGCUGUGAUUCCUUCUUCAUUUCCAGCAGGGACGACCCAAUAACUUUUACAGUAUGGGAUUUCUUUUUUCUUAUGAUAACAAUGUUCAUUGUGGAAAAAAAAAUGAUAAAAUAAAAAUCAGCUAGAAUUCCAACUUCUGGCAAUUUGGGUGUCUAUCUUUCUGCAAAGUUCCUAUACGCAUACUUUAUAAAAUUACGAACAUAC